GACAGAGGCCUCAAGCGUUAGGCGGAAUCACUGGGCUUAAAGCGUGUGUAGGCGGACUUCUAAGUGCCUUGUGAAAUCCCACGGCUCAACCGUGGAACUGCUGGGCAUACUGGGAGUCUUGGGCCAUUCAGGGGCAACUGGAACAAGCGGUGGAGCGGUGAAAUGCGUAGAUAUCGCUUGGAACGCCGAAGGUGAAAACAGGUUGCUGGGGGAUGUG
rnacentral:rRNA from 1 species